AGACUUGGAGAUGAUCAGGCAUUGGACGAAGAAGCCACAGGACGAGGACGAAUCGUAGGACAGGAUAAGGAUGUAGCGCUGGUUGACUGGAUUGAGCCUAUGGACCAUGAUGGGUCUCAUAUGUAAUAGUGCUAUGGAUAUCUGUUAAGUUGUUUAAACAGUGACACUAUAUCCUAUUAAAAUUUUCAUAUAUUUAUGCCAUGUUUUAUGGAUUCCAGUGUUCCAAACACCACUUCCCAUAUAAAUCCUGUGUUUUUCUCCAAUCCUCUAUUUUUCCUAUCCAUCAUAAUCCCCUUCCUGCGUUUUGAGCCUUUCCUAUGUUUUCAGGUCCUUUGUUCCAAACAAGUCCUUACUAGACGAAAUCUCUGAGCUUGCCCGUGGAAUUGCAUCCAAAGCUCGACUAUUGCUAAUGCCAUCUGUUCAAAUCCCC
rnacentral:lncRNA from 1 species